CCUACGGGAGGCAGCAGUGGGGAAUCUUCCGCAAUGGGCGCAAGCCUGACGGAGCAACGCCGCGUGAGUGAAGAAGGGUUUCGACUCGUAAAGCUCUGUUGUCGGGGACGAAUGUGGAGAUGGUGAAUAACCAUUUUCAAUGACGGUACCUGACGAGGAAGCACCGGCUAACUCCGUGC
rnacentral:rRNA from 1 species